rnacentral:rRNA from 1 species
UUGGAGGGCAAGUCUGGUGCCAGCAGCCGCGGUAAUUCCAGCUCCAAUAGCGUAUAUUAAAGUUGCUGCAGUUAAAAAGCUCAUAGUUAAAUUUCGGGACCAUCAUGUCGGUCGUGCCUCGGUACGUACUGGCAUCGUUGGUUUCUCCCUUCUGACGAACCAUGAUGUCAUUUAUUUGGUGUUGUGGGGAAUCAGGACUGUUACUUUGAAAGAAUUAGAGUGUUUAAAGCAGGCUCACGCUUGAAUACAUUAGCAUGGAAUAAUGAAAUAGGACGUUUGAUUCUAUUUUGUUGGUUUCUAGGAUCGACGUAAUGAUUAAUAGGGAUAGUUGGGGGCAUUAGUAUUCAAUUGUCAGAGGUGAAGUUCUUGGAUUUAUUGAAGACUAACUACUGCGAAAGCAUUUGCCAAGGAUGUUUUCAUUAAUCAAGAACGAAAGUUAGGAGAUGGAAGACGAUCAGAUACCAUUGUAGUCUUAACCACAAACUAUGCCGACUAGGGAUCGGAUGAUGUAAUUAAUUCCCU